AUGGCAGGAAUCCCGAAGAGAUUUGGGAGUGCUCGAAAGAGAACCUGCACACAGGUGCUGCAUGGCUGUCGUCAGCUCGUGUCGUGAGAUGUUGGGUUAAGUCCCGCAACGAGCGCAACCCUUGUCAUUAGUUGCUACGAAAGGGCACUCUAAUGAGACUGCCGGUGACAAACCGGAGGAAGGUGGGGAUGACGUCAAGUCCUCAUGGCCCUUAUAGGUGGGGCUACACACGUCAUACAAUGGCUGGUACAGAGGGUUGCCAACCCGCGAGGGGGAGCCAAUCCCAUAAAGCCAGCCGUAGUCCGGAUCGCAGUCUGCAACUCGACUGCGUGAGGUCGGAAUCGCUAGUAAUCGCGGAUCAGAAUGUCGCGGUGAAUACGUUCCCGGGUCUU
rnacentral:rRNA from 1 species